rnacentral:sRNA from 1 species
UUAUAUUCUCCGCUGGGGGGGAUGAGAAUCCCCGACCGGGGUUCGACAACUGGCAACGCCAGUUGGACAGACCGCGAGCCUGCGAGCGGGCUGCCCCGCAGGGGCGAGCGAAGCGAGUCAAUCCCCCCCUCACCGCCA